UUUUUUUAAUUUUAAAUUUCCAUUAGAUAAAAAAGAACUUACAAGACACAAAAUUCCAAACUAGGCACGCAGGCCAAAAAACAUACACGGCCCAAAGGCCCAAAAAGGCACGCAGGUCCGAAAACUAACCCUGAGGCCCAAGAAGGAAUAAGAGGGCCCAACAGAACAUAAGAAACGCAAAGGAGGAAAAAUUUACCUUAGUUGAAGUAGCGAAACCAAGUAGAAAGGAGAGAGUUGUCGGGGGCAUCAAAUUCAGAACGCCUAGAGAGAGGAUCCAGCUUAGCUGUAAGGAUGACCUUGAUUUCCUUGAUGAUUGCAGUAGAAGAGCGGGAAGCGUGAUCAUGCAAUCUACGGUUACGCUCUUUCCAAAGGAAGUAGAUAGAAGCUUGAAACACUAGCUUGAUGAUGAGAG
rnacentral:sRNA from 1 species